GUUGUGCUCGCUUCAGUAACACAUACUAAAAUUGGAAUUAUAAAGAGAAGAUUAGCAUGGCCCCAACACAAGAUUGACAUGCAAAUUUGAGAAGUGCUCCAUAUAAAA